GCAUGAGCAUGUGUGUUUAUGUAUAAGAUUGUAGUUGGGGAGGAUAAGAGCCUCCUAGUGUUUUCUUUAUACUCUGACAUUUUUUUAUAUUCAACAAUGGAUCUUCAAACUCAGAGAGGGUUGAAAGAAAAAAAAAAUAGAAGAGAAGCACCUUUCUUUAGAAGUUCAAAGCUUGGCCUUUGAGGUCUCAGAUGUGCAGGCCCAGAGAGGAUGCCUGCAAGAAGACAUGAUAAGAUAAAGGAGAUCUUCUCAUGCCUGCCUGGAAGAGCCACUGGAUUCCCUGGGCCCAAGGGUUGUGGAUGGGCACUCAAUGGUGGCAGGCUGAAGGGAAAGUCCAAAGGGCGAAGGAUAGGCUACCCGUAAGGGGUGGUCAGACCAGUGAUGGUAUGGAGAGAAACAUGCACAGGGAUGUCAUGUAUGUCUGUCAACACAGAGUGACAGACAGACACUAACCAUGGUCAUAAGAGGUGGGAUAGCAUCCAUAACAGUAAUAGAUACUAAUAACUGUCACAGAAUAUCUGUGAAACAUUGUUGAAUGCUUAAUGUAAGCCUAUCAAAGCAUCUUACAUGUAUCAAAUCCCAUCAACUCAACUACCCUAAAAGAUAGUAGGUGUUAUGUUUGAAUCCAUAUUGCCAAAUUCUCACCAAGCAGUUAACUCAUUAUGAAAGGCCAGAUACCUAGUAGGUAUUUAAGUAUUUAGUACAAUUAAUGAUUUUAGAAAAAAAAUUAAUCUGGAGCCAACAGUUCACAGACUGGAAUUAGAGAAAAGAAGGGACUAUAUCAGGCAGGGAUGUGAAAGGGCGCAAACAGGGUGUGUCCAGGGCCUGAGAACAGAUGCUCUAGGGUGUUGGAAAUGACACCAACAUUCUGGUCACUGUGUCUGCGAGAUCAGGCACAUAGAGAAGCAGCAGAUCGAAGGUGGAGUGAUAAGUCAUAUCAGAGAAAAGCUCGGGCUUGAUCCCACCUUAAAGUCAGGGCAAAGAUUGCCACACAGCAGAAAACAUCACACCGCAAUCAUCCAUAAUCAAUAAGUAAUUCAGCUGCAAUUUCUCAUCUCAUCAGAUGGUUGAUAAUCAAUGCCUGUGUCUAAUUGCUUAAGUCACAAAAUUGAGAGUGUUAUGACAUCGCCCCGAAUCAAGACCAGUGUAGACGGUGGAGAGAUAGACCAGCUAGGACUCCUUCUUAAAAUAUUUUACAGACAAAAACAGAUCAUGGGAUUCAGGCCCUGGAAUUGACAACAUCAAAUUUUAAAAGACUCAUGCUAAGCUGAAUAAUGGUCCCUCAAAGACGCUGUCUUAGUUCAGACUGCUGUAGAACAGAUUCUUACAGACAUGGCAGCUUGAACAGUACACUUCAUUUCGGACAGGCGUGGGAGUCCAGGAGCAAGGCAUCAUGAGAGCUAGUGUCUGGUGAAGGCUAUCUUCCAAGUUCAUGGACAGUACCUUCCCACUCUGUCCUCAUUUGGCAGAAAGGGAGCCAAGGAGCUCGACCAGGCCCUUUUCAUGAGGAUAUAGAUCUCAUGCGGAAAAGCUCCUCAUGAAAAUAAAUCACUUGUCAAAGGUUCUACCUGCUAACACUAUCACCCUGGGAGUUAUAGUUUCAGCCUAUCAACACUAGAAGAAUACAAUCCACAAUAGAUGCCCACAACCUCAUUCCCAGAACUUAUGAAUAGUCUGGAUUAUUUGGCAAAAGGGAAAUUAAAAUUGCUGAUGAAAUUGUGACUGUUACUCAACCUUAAGUCUGAUUUUAACUAAGGGAAUUGCCUUGGUGUAUUCAAGUUGGUUUAUGCAAUCACAAGGGUAUUUUAAAAGGUGGAGGCAGAGACAGAAGAUAGCUGGAGAGAUGGCAACAUCAGGAAGAUGCUCUAACACUGUUUAUUUUAAUGAUGGGAGAAGGUGCUAUUAACAGAAGGCACAUGUGUAUUCUCUAGAAGCCAGUCAGAGCUUGGCAACAGAUUGUCCCUUAGAGCUUCCAGACAAGAAUGCACCUAGCCAGCACCUUGAUUUUAGCCGAGUCAGACCCAUUUUGGACUUCUGACAUCCAGACUGUUAGAUGAUGCAUAUCCAUUGUUUUAAGUCACUCAAUUUGCAGUUAUUUGUUACAGCUGUCAUGAGGAACUAAUAUGGUACACUGGAAAACAGACCAUUUCUCCAGAUAGUUCAGAUUUUUAUCUUAGCAGUGGAUGUGUGGAAUGAUACUUGCCUACAUGAAACAUACAAAUACUAACAAACAAUCAUUGAUUUUUAUUUGUGUUCCUGGCAAUGUGGACAGCCAACUAUGAGUUAAGCAUAAAAAUGCCUAACUGGGUCAUCGACAUUUACAUUGGAGACAAGUCUAGGAUCCCCUGAGAGAAAACAUCUUCCUCUUACCUGGGCAUAUCCCCUUGGAAACCAAAGGUGUUCAAACAUAAUAAUAUGUCUGAACAUGGAUGAAAUAUGAUCCUUUGUUUUAGUAGCAUAAUGUAAGGGGGAAAAGCCCUGCUUCAGGGAAAGCUUCUUAAACUAUGUCAGCAGUUGAUAGAAGAAAAUUUUGGCUUCAUUUCCUAUCUGUCAGAUUCUUUCCCUGCCUUCUCUCAGCCAAGUAAUAUGGCUCUUCCUGCUAAGACUUCAGGUUCUUCUCAGCAGGGUGUAGGGUUAAGGGUCAUGUGGUCCCUUUCAGAUCAGCGCAACCCUUAACCUUAUUAAGGAACAAGACAAGAGAAUUCCAAGCAGCAUGAGAGGCCGUAGUCCCAUUAAACUUCCUUUAACCAAGUCCCCAGUGGAGUAUGAUAACACAAGGAAUGUUGCCUUGGAAUGUAGAAUGAAACCUGCCCUGUUCAGGGGUCAGAAUCUGGGGGCAAACUAAGUUUGGUUAAAAGAACACUUUAGUUCAUUUUAGACAACUUAUUGCUUGGGGGCAUCUGAGAUGGAACCAGCUUUGUGCUAACUCAACAUUAUCACCUGCACAGGAAACUGCAUUACCCACCUGCUUAACUCGAGUCCGGCACAGAAAACAGCACCUCUGACCUCAGCUUCAGACUUUGAAUUUCAUGAGCGGACACCGACUCUCUAAUAGAAUCAAUUAACCUCUGGCCACAUCAUAAGCCAAUGUCAAAAAUGAAUUCCAAGACUCUCUUCUGGAGCCCAUGAUGGUCAGAGGCUUAGAAGUUUCAAGCAUUGUCUUAGUCACUAUUCUGUUGCUGUGAAGAGACACCAUGGAAAUUCUUAUAAAAGACACCAUCUAAUGGGGACUCGCGUACACUUCAAAAGGUUUCACCAUCAAACUGAAUUGUUUGCAAAAGGCAAAAUGGAAGAGAAAGCAAGAAGAACUUCUCCUACCCUCCAUCCACGAUCCGUCUUUUUGUUCACCUUCAAGACUUCUCAGCAGAAUGUGUAACGCCAGGGACGCUUGCUGCCUGCCCUCCAUAUAUUAAUAUGACAUCAACACCAUUAAAUAUGGUAUUUAAUACUAUGAAGUAGAAUCGGA